GGACUACCAGGGUAUCUAAUCCUUAUUGCUACCCAAGGCUUCGUCCCUCAACGUCAGUUUUUACAUAGAAGGAUGCCUUCGCCGUUAUCCGUCCUACCAGUAUAAUAAAAUUUUGACUCUCCUCUGGUAAUUCCCCCUUCUCUCAUAAAACUCUAGAAAAUUAGUUCCUAUUAAGGCUUGAUUUUCCGUCUAGGUACCCUUUAAACCUAUUAAAGAUGAAUAACACUAGUCUUCUACGUAUUACCGCGGCUGCUGGCAC
rnacentral:rRNA from 1 species